AGCCCGGUAGUGUAGCGGUCAAUCAUGCGAGGCUCUGGACCUUGCGACGUAGGUUCGAAUCCUAUCCGGGCUAC
rnacentral:tRNA from 1 species